GUGGUUGGAGUGAAGGAUGAGAGGCUGGGCGAGCAGGUGUGUGCCUGCAUCAGGCUGAGGGAGGGCCAGACCUCCAGUGCAGACGAGAUCAGAGCAUUCUGCAAAGGCCAGAUCUCUCACUUCAAGAUCCCACACUAUGUGAUCUUUGUCGACAGCUACCCUCUGACAGCCUCUGGAAAGAUCAAGAAGAACACAUUAAAGGAGGAAAUGGAGAUGAAAUUAGGCCUUUAAUGUUAUGAACCCUGAUGGUCUGUUUGAGUGCAUCAGCUGGGAAUGCCAGAAACUGAGCUGUGUGGAGUUAAGGCUUUCUUCACCGAGAGCUGAGACGGGACUAUAACUUCUGCUGGAUUGUCAAUACUUAAAAUCGUUCUCCUUUUACUUCCUUCACUCCUCAUUACUUCGUUUUAAUGUUAUUAUAAAAGUAUAGUGGGCUUAUACCA